UGAAGACCCCCCCCCCCCCCCACCACCACCAAGCUGCCCACCAGAGGCCAAGCUGUACUUGGUGUUUGCCAACAUGCUGUAAUUUCCAGCCUGGUUGCUGUAGCCACAGAGGAAUUUUCAAGGACAAGAACCAGUGCUGGUAAAACUGUGGUCUCUGUGGUUUUCCAUACCGGCUCUCGGCAAGGAUUUUCAAGAAAGGAAUACCAUCUCCAAAUCAUGAUGUGCCAAUAAGCUCCAGUUAGCUGCGGCCUUUUCCCCAGGCGGUAGUCCUGCAAUCUGAAUCCAGGAGAUGCAGCUCUGAAUCCAAUAUUUCAGAAGAAUGAAGAUGAAGCAGACCCAGGAGGAACUGUCUGUUGAAGACCCUCCCCCCCCCCCACCACCACCAAGCUGCCCACCAGAGGCCAAGCUGUACUUGGUGUUUGCCAACAUGCUGUAAUUUCCAGCCUGGUUGCUGUAGCCACAGAGGAAUUUUCAAGGACAAGAACCAGUGCUGGUAAAACUGUGGUCUCUGUGGUUUUCCAUACCGGCUCUCGGCAAGGAUUUUCAAGAAAGGAAUACCAUCUCCAAAUCAUGAUGUGCCAAUAAGCUCCAGUUAGCUGCGGCCUUUUCCCCAGGCGGUAGUCCUGCAAUCUGAAUCCAGGAGAUGCAGCUCUGAAUCCAAUAUUUCAGAAGAAUGAAGAUGAAGCAGACCCAGGAGGAACUGUCUGUUGAAGACCCUCCCCCCCCCCACCACCACCAAGCUGCCCACCAGAGGCCAAGCUGUACUUGGUGUUUGCCAACAUGCUGUAAUUUCCAGCCUGGUUGCUGUAGCCACAGAGGAAUUUUCAAGGACAAGAACCAGUGCUGGUAAAACUGUGGUCUCUGUGGUUUUCCAUACCGGCUCUCGGCAAGGAUUUUCAAGAAAGGAAUACCAUCUCCAAAUCAUGAUGUGCCAAUAAGCUCCAGUUAGCUGCGGCCUUUUCCCCAGGCGGUAGUCCUGCAAUCUGAAUCCAGGAGAUGCAGCUCUGAAUCCAAUAUUUCAGAAGAAUGAAGAUGAAGCAGACCCAGGAGGAACUGUCUGUUGAAGACCCUCCCCCCCCCCCACCACCACCAAGCUGCCCACCAGAGGCCAAGCUGUACUUGGUGUUUGCCAACAUGCUGUAAUUUCCAGCCUGGUUGCUGUAGCCACAGAGGAAUUUUCAAGGACAAGAACCAGUGCUGGUAAAACUGUGGUCUCUGUGGUUUUCCAUACCGGCUCUCGGCAAGGAUUUUCAAGAAAGGAAUACCAUCUCCAAAUCAUGAUGUGCCAAUAAGCUCCAGUUAGCUGCGGCCUUUUCCCCAGGCGGUAGUCCUGCAAUCUGAAUCCAGGAGAUGCAGCUCUGAAUCCAAUAUUUCAGAAGAAUGAAGAUGAAGCAGACCCAGGAGGAACUGUCUGUUGAAGACCCUCCCCCCCCCCACCACCACCAAGCUGCCCACCAGAGGCCAAGCUGUACUUGGUGUUUGCCAACAUGCUGUAAUUUCCAGCCUGGUUGCUGUAGCCACAGAGGAAUUUUCAAGGACAAGAACCAGUGCUGGUAAAACUGUGGUCUCUGUGGUUUUCCAUACCGGCUCUCGGCAAGGAUUUUCAAGAAAGGAAUACCAUCUCCAAAUCAUGAUGUGCCAAUAAGCUCCAGUUAGCUGCGGCCUUUUCCCCAGGCGGUAGUCCUGCAAUCUGAAUCCAGGAGAUGCAGCUCUGAAUCCAAUAUUUCAGAAGAAUGAAGAUGAAGCAGACCCAGGAUGAACUGUCUGUUGAAGACCCCCCCCCCCACCACCACCACCAAGCUGCCCACCAGAGGCCAAGCUGUACUUGGUGUUUGCCAACAUGCUGUAAUUUCCAGCCUGGUUGCUGUAGCCACAGAGGAAUUUUCAAGGACAAGAACCAGUGCUGGUAAAACUGUGGUCUCUGUGGUUUUCCAUACCGGCUCUCGGCAAGGAUUUUCAAGAAAGGAAUACCAUCUCCAAAUCAUGAUGUGCCAAUAAGCUCCAGUUAGCUGCGGCCUUUUCCCCAGGCGGUAGUCCUGCAAUCUGAAUCCAGGAGAUGCAGCUCUGAAUCCAAUAUUUCAGAAGAAUGAAGAUGAAGCAGACCCAGGAGGAACUGUCUGUUGAAGACCCCCCCCCCCCCCCCCCCCCCCCCC